rnacentral:lncRNA from 1 species
GAACUCACAACCUUGCGCUUGCCAGGCAGGCACUGUGCCGCUGACCUAAACCCCCAGCCCAAUAGUUGCCUUUAAGGAGCUACGGGAGAAAAAGAGGAGCAGAAUCAGAGGGAUUUUCCAGGCCAUGUUUAACUCUGGCCCCUGAGUGACUG